rnacentral:rRNA from 1 species
CCUACGGGGGGCUGCAGUGGGGAAUAUUGGACAAUGGGGGCAACCCUGAUCCAGCCAUGCCGCGUGUGUGAAGAAGGCCCUCGGGUUGUAAAGCACUUUCAGUGAGGAAGAAGCCUGGUGGUUAAUACCCAUCAGGAAAGACAUCACUCACCGGAGAAGGACCGGCCUAACUCCGUGCCAGCAGCCGCGGUAUACGGAGGGUGCGAGCGUUAAUCGGAAUUACUGGGCGUAAAGCGCGCGUAGGUGGCUUGAUAAGCCGGUUGUGAAAGCCCCGGGCUCAACCUGGGAACGGCAUCCGGAACUGUCAAGCUAGAGUGCAGGAGAGGAAGGUAGAAUUCCCGGUGUAGCGGUGAAAUGCGUAGAGAUCGGGAGGAAUACCAGUGGCGAAGGCGGCCUUCUGGACUGACACUGACACUGAGGUGCGAAAGCGUGGGUAGCAAACAGGAUUAGAUACCCUGGUAGUC